GAGCAGAGGGGAGGGGAGGGGAGGGGAGGGGGGAGGGGAGGAAGGGUGGAGGACAAGGAGGAGAAGGAAGAGCAAUGCAAAGUACCCUGCAGAACCCGGCACAAAGGUUCGAGGCCUUUGCUGCAUUGCCGACGUGGAGGAAUUACAGGAAGACAGACUGUGGCACAGAAAAAGAGGGAUGUACGAAGCCACCUGACCAACAAAGCAGGCUGAUCCUGGAGGGCGUGAGGUGCCCGACACUGGAGAUGGUGACAUAGCUUUUCUUUUAAGAAUAAAGCAAAAGAAAAUCCGAUAAAAGACUUGAAUGUAUAAGGAACUCUUCUAACUCAACAAUAAAAAGAUAAAUACAAUGAAAACAUGAGCAAAGGAUUUGAAUAGACAUUUCUCCAAAGAAGACAUACAAAUGGCCAAUAAGCACAUGAAAAGAUGCUCGACAUCAUUAGUCAUUAGGGAAACACAAAUCAAAACCACAAUGAGACAGCAGUGCGCUUCAAACUACAAUGUGAUCUCACUUUACUAGAACGGCUAAUUGUGGUGAAACUGGAAUGCUUGUACAUUGCUGCUGGGGUUGUAAAAUGGUACAGCCACUUUGGAAACAGUUCAGCAGCUCCUCAAAAAGUUACAGUUGGUGUCAUCACAUGACCCAGUAAUUCCUUUCCUCAGUAUAUACCCAAGAAAAAUAAAAACCUACACCCAUACAAAAACUUGUACCUAAAUAUUGAUAGUAGCAUUAUUUAAAAGUAGUCAAAAGUAGAAACAACUCAAAUGUCUGUCAACAGAUGAAUGGCUGAACUAAAUGUGGUAGGCACAUACAAUGGAAUAUUAUUUGGCCGGUGAUGAGAAGAGAUGGAGUAUGGACACACGCUGGAACAUGGGUGAAUCUUGAAACCAGUAUGCUAAUUGAGAGAAGACAUUCACGAAAGGUCACCUGCUGUAUGGUUCCAUUUCUACCAAAUGUCCAGAAUGGACAAAUCCAGAGGAAAAAAAAAGUCAGUGGUUGCCAGAGGCAGGGGUAGGGAAGAAUGGGAAGAGACUGUUGAAAGCUACAGGAUUUCUUUUUGGAAGGUAACGAGAAAUGUUCUGAAAUUCGAUAGCAGUGAUGGUUGCACAACGCUGUGAAUAUACUAAAAACUACUGAAUUACACAUUUUAAAAGGGUGAAUUUGGCUGGGCUUCUUGGUGGCUCAUGCCUGUGAUUGCAGCACUUUGGGAGGCCGAGGAGGGAGGAUCGUUUGAGGCUAGGAGUUUGAGACCAGCCUGGGCAACAUAGCAACACCCCAUCUCUACAGACAAACAAAAAAACAAAACAAAACAAAAAAUACAAAAAUUAGCUGGGCAUGCUGGUGCACACCUGUAGUUUCAGCUACUUGGGAGACAGACAGGAGGAUCACUUGAGCCCAGGAGGUCGAGGCUGCAGUAAGCCGUGAUUGUGCCACUGCACUCCAGCCCGGGUGACAGAGUGAGACCCUGUCUCAAUAAAAAAGGGUGAAUUUUAUACUCUGUGAAUUACUUCUCAGUAAAGUUGUUAUGAAAGUGAAGCAAAACGAUAAUUUAAAGAGAAAGGCCAACAGCAGUACAGGGACACAUGGCUCUUUGGCAAAGUCGUAGAUGACUCACGUGAAUGAUCGAAGUUGGUUUAUAGGCUUAUAAGGACAAAUCGCAGACAUCCUAGUUUAACAUUCAGGACCUGUGCUUAGCUCUAGCUUGUUCCCUGCUCUUCUUAAAAUGCCUAUGUUGGCCUUAUCCCUAUUUCUGGAACACUUAGGAAUCUUUCAAGCUGCUUCGUCUUUGCAGAUUUUGGGCCCUGCCUGGGAUGUCCCUUCUCCUGUUCUUCAUCUGGUUGAACCCAACCUGGUCAAUAUAGGUGGGCUUGAUAGGGGAUGGGGCCUGUGCCAGGCACUGAGCCUGGCCCUGGUGAGACAGCACAGAGAACUAAGAUAGACGUGGUCUGGGCCCUUGGCUGGCUCCAAGACAGGGUGGGCAGACAGAUGAGGAGCCUGCCACACCCACGCUGGGCUGCAGGAAUGGAAUAGAAGAACCUAACACAGUCUGAGAAAUCAGAGGGGACUCCCAGAAAGGGACACUUCAGCUGAGUAGUUGGUCAGGCAAAGAAGAGGGGAGGGAAAGGUCUGGGCAAAAGCCUCAAGACUGCACGCACGGCAGGUUGGAGGAAUCCUCAGAAGGUGGGUGUGGCUGGAACACAGCCCAGAAGGUGGGGAGUGCUGAGAAACAGUCAUAGAGAGAAAGCUGGAGUCUGGGGAUUGGGGCCCUCGUAGGCCAAGCCAAGGAAUCCAGAUAUUUGCAGAGCUCAAUUAGAUGCCAUCCGACGCUAGCCAGGUAUGGUGGUGCACACCUGUAGUCCCAGCUACUCGAGAGGCUGAGGCAGGAGAAUUGCUCGAAUUCCAGAGACGGAGGUUGCAGUGAGCCGAGAUUGCGUCACUGCACUUCAGCCUGGGUGACAGAGUAAGACUCCAUCUCAAGAAAAAAAAAAAGAUUCCAUACGACUCCAUAGGAUGGCUAUUUUUUGUUCACAUUAUGGAUCAUCCCUGCCGUUCUGCAUCCAUCUGCUGAUCGUUUUUCCCCCACUAGAAAGGAGAGGGACUUUGCACUGUUCACUGCUGUGUCCCCAACAGCCAGAAGAGUGCCUGGCUCACACACUCAAUACAUACGUAUUGAAUGCGUGACUUUACUUGCCUGUGUCCUCUGCUUACUGAGUUACUGAAAGCCAGGAACCUGUUGGAGUCAUCAUUGCGUCCCCAGGGCCUAGCACACAGCUCAGCCUGCACAUGCUGCUUAAUAAAUAUUUAAAGAUUAAUGAAGGAAUAAAUGUCUCCCCCCAUGUGUCACACAUUCCUGAAGGGCAGGGACUCUUCGAUUUAUGUCUCUAGUGCCCAACACAUUGCCUGGUAGAAAGCAGACACUCAAUAAAGGUUUGUUGAAAUAAACAAGAGUCUCUUCUUGUGUGCGGGCCCUUGUCAGGCCUGUCAUGGGAGCUCAAAUAGAGACAACCAGACCUGUGCUACUGGAUCUUAGGCAGGGGGGAAGAGACACCUUGCUGGCAAAGGGUCUUAGGAUCCCAGGGUCAAAAGCUGUGCAGAUAGGAUCAGCCUGCAUGUGUUGGGUGGCCAGAGAGACCAAAGAGGGCUUCCUGGGGGUCAGGAAUCCCGCCUUUGUUUAUGUCCCUUAGCACUGC